GACGAACGCUGGCGGCGUGCCUAAUACAUGCAAGUCGAGCGGAUUGAAGGGAGCUUGCUCCCUGAUAUUAGCGGCGGACGGGUGAGUAACACGUGGGCAACCUGCCCUGCAGAUGGGGAUAACUCCGGGAAACCGGGGCUAAUACCGAAUAAUCGGUUCUUCCGCAUGGAAGAACUCUGAAAGACGGUUUCGGCUGUCACUGCAGGAUGGGCCCGCGGCGCAUUAGCUCGUUGGUGGGGUAACGGCCUACCAAGGCGACGAUGCGUAGCCGACCUGAGAGGGUGAUCGGCCACACUGGGACUGAGACACGGCCCAGACUCCUACGGGAGGCAGCAGUAGGGAAUCUUCCACAAUGGACGAAAGUCUGAUGGAGCAACGCCGCGUGAGCGAAGAAGGUUUUAGGAUCGUAAAGCUCUGUUGCGAGGGAAGAACAAGUACGAGAGUAACUGCUCGUACCUUGACGGUACCUCGUUAGAAAGCCACGGCUAACUACGUGCCAGCCGCCGCCGUAA
rnacentral:rRNA from 1 species